GUUGAUGGUUACUAAAUUAUAUUAAAAGUUCUAGUCCUGUUCUUUGCAUCAGUUUGUUCUACUUCUUUACUCUAGAAUCACAUAGGAAAAGCUGAUCUCACUGCCGUUCAGUUAUUCUUCAGAUAUGCCAGGAUAGCUCCGUGCUCUCAAGUCCAUUUCCCUCUGGGUUAAGUAUUCUCAGGUCCUUAGUUGGCCCGAAUGAUGAAAGGCCAAACUAGCCCACUCGUCUCAUCCAUCCCCAGCUCUCUGCCUUUGCUCACUGGGAGCACUGGGAGAGGAAGGGAGCAUCAAAAGAGAGAAGGAGUCCCGUGUCCUCAGUCUCUGUUGGUUCCCCUCACCACUGCUGCAGCCAGUUGAGGCAGAAAGCCGCACGAAUAUUACUCAGAUUAGGGAGAGCCUAAAAGGAGGGGAGAAUGACUAGUGUAGUUGGGAGCAAUUUUGUUGGUCCCCAAAAAGAGAGGGGAGAGAUGUGGAAGGGAGGAGUGAGGGGUGCCUGUGAGGCAGGCUGUACCUGGAGGUCAGUGACUGCAUGAAGCAUCCAGGCUUGAGCGCCUUGCCGGUGUUCCCCCCAACAGGAAGAGGUGGUGGGGUGUGUGCCUAUGGGCAGUAGCUGUCUUGCCCACAGAGAGUUCGAGCCAGGCCAGAGUUUCCACAUCUUGCAUCCCAGUGCAGACUGCUUUUGAGCACCUGUCACUUGUGGCCCUGCCCUAGCUAGCACGUAUAGGAGAAGCCGUGACCACAGAAGAGGGCUGCAGCUGCUCCCUCAGUCGGGUAAAGAGGUGUUUGUCCUUUGACCUCAUUUGUCAUCUGGGUCCUGAAGAAGGGAGGGCAAAGGAGGAGUUAAAGAACAGACUCCUUGUUGCUGCCACCAUGGCCAGUAGUCAAGCCUGAGCUGUGGGGAGGUUGGAGAUGGGUUAUUAAACCAAGCCGGACUGGACUCGUUAAUCUAGUUACAGGUCAGCUAUGAGAGCUGCUUAGGGUGUGCUGAGGAGAAGAGGGAGGUGACGGCAUGGUUGAAGACCAUGGUCAGGAAAGUGGGACCACAUCCAGGCUGUUCUACCGACUGGUUGAUAGGUUUUUCUAUUUCUUCUUGACUCUAUUUUCCUCAUUUACACUUUCCUCGAACAUUGGGCCAUUUCAUAUUCAUCGAUGGAAUUCUAGAAGACAGGUAACACUGCUUUUAUAACAUCACAGGCCAGAAGUUUUUUUAAGCGAUUUACUUAUUUAAUCCUCAUCAGAAUUUAUUGAGGGAGUUCUUUUAUCAUCUCCAUUUUAUAGAGAAGGAAACUGAGGCACAAGGAGGAUCAUUACAUUGUCCAAGGUCUCAGCUGCUAAGUGGAGGAAUCAGGAUUCCAACCUCCAGCUUAAGCUUUCUGGCUUGAUUCCCUUAUUUAGAUUCGUUCAUAUAUAUAUUCACAUAUACAUGUGUGUGUACUUAUAAAUAUAUAUUUUUAUAAUUUUAAAAAUUACUGUAUAGUUUUUUUUACCCUCAUUUGUUCCUGAUGUUAAUGUGCCUUUUCAUUUUCUCCUGGUUGUACUUUCUGAAGGAUUGUCAACCUCUGGUUCUCAAAAGUGUGGUCUGCAGAGCCCUUGGGCAUCCCCAAGACCCUUCCAGGAGUCUGCAAGGUCCAAACUGUACUUUGGUGGUACGAGGAUGUUACUCUCCUUUCUCGGUGCUGGUGCUUCGCUCCAGAGCGGUUAGGAGUUACGGUGUUCAUCACUGCUCACUCCCAGUAGAAACACUGUCAGAGACACUUAAGAAAGUCUUUUCUGAUGUUCUUCGUACACUUCAACCAAAACAAUGUAUCACAACAGGUGGAACGCAGGAGCCAAUCUUCUACAAAGCCCGAUAGUUAAAAGAUUUGCAAACAGGUAAAGCAAUGCCAGUCUUCUCACCACUCCUUUUUGG
ensembl:lncRNA